rnacentral:rRNA from 1 species
GGUAACUUCGGGACCGAGUGCGUGGUAAGACGAAGGGGGCUGGCGUUGCUUGGAAGUACUGGGCGGAAAGGGAGCGUAGGCGGACUGUUAAGUUAGAGGUGAAAGCCCAGGGCUCAACCUUGGAAUUGCCUUUGAUACUGGCAGUCUUGAGUACGGAAGAGGUAUGUGGAACUCCGAGUGUAGAGGUGAAAUUCGUAGAUAUUCGGAAGAACACCAGUGGCGAAGGCGACAUACUGGUCCGUUACUGACGCUGAGGCUCGAAAGCGUGGGGAGCAAACAGGAUUAGAUACCCUUGUAGUC